AGGAGUGCCUGUGCACAUUUAAAUCUUUCAAUGCACUCAAAGUCCACUUAUCAACAUGGCACACUCAAAAGGACCUAAGGAACGUGAGUGAAACUGCUUUCCAUUGUAAAAAAGGAGCCUGCUGUACACAACAUGGUUGAACGAUGGCCAGCACUCUUCACAGAGCGACAGGUGUUUGCCGAGUUUAAUCGAAUCGCCAGUAAGAAUCUUGAGGGAGACUUCUUUGAGGCUCUGGACCAGUACACCCCGCGGCUCAUAGACAUUUUCAAAACAAAAAGAGGAACCGUUGGCCGGAAACUCAGUGAGCUGAUGCAGCACAUGAGCUGAUGGAUACAGCAAGAGACGAGGCCCUAGAAUGCAUCACUGUUGGUGUGUUGACAGUUGUCAGUGAAGAUCCUCACGAGGGUCCACGUUCAGUGGACCUCCAGCCCAUCUCCACUGCCAUCAUUCUGGAGGGACGUAUCGUCAUGGAUCACAUUAAAAACUUGCCUCAGGCAGUUGGUCUGUUAUUUGGGCUAACAUAUGCUUUGCAUUUGGAUUACCCAAAAUGCUUGCAAAGACACUCAACUUCAUUCAGACUGUGAUGCUUGGACUGGGAAAGAAAAACCUCCCACUAAAAGUGUUAACUCUGAAGAACAGUCUCCUGGAUUAGACUAGUAAAGAGCUAAAUCAACUGUCAGCAAUUUAAAAGUUAUAAUAAUGUUCUCCUGUUAUUAGAUAAAGUGUGAUGCUUUCAUGCAACUUGUUUAU